rnacentral:rRNA from 1 species
AACCACUUCGGUGGGGAUUAGUGGCGAACGGGUGAGUAACACGUGGGCAAUCUGCCCUUCACUCUGGGACAAGCCCUGGAAACGGGGUCUAAUACCGGAUAUCACUCCCGCAGGCAUCUGCGGGUGUCGAAAGCUCCGGCGGUGAAGGAUGAGCCCGCGGCCUAUCAGCUUGUUGGUGAGGUAAUGGCUCACCAAGGCGACGACGGGUAGCCGGCCUGAGAGGGCGACCGGCCACACUGGGACUGAGACACGGCCCAGACUCCUACGGGAGGCAGCAGUGGGGAAUAUUGCACAAUGGGCGAAAGCCUGAUGCAGCGACGCCGCGUGAGGGAUGACGGCCUUCGGGUUGUAAACCUCUUUCAGCAGGGAAGAAGCGAAAGUGACGGUACCUGCAGAAGAAGCGCCGGCUAACUACGUGCCAGCAGCCGCGGUAAUACGUAGGGCGCAAGCGUUGUCCGGAAUUAUUGGGCGUAAAGAGCUCGUAGGCGGCUUGUCACGUCGGGUGUGAAAGCCCGGGGCUUAACCCCGGGUCUGCAUUCGAUACGGGCUAGCUAGAGUGUGGUAGGGGAGAUCGGAAUUCCUGGUGUAGCGGUGAAAUGCGCAGAUAUCAGGAGGAACACCGGUGGCGAAGGCGGAUCUCUGGGCCAUUACUGACGCUGAGGAGCGAAAG